rnacentral:rRNA from 1 species
UACGUAGGGUGCAAGCGUUAAUCGGAAUUACUGGGCGUAAAGCGUGCGCAGGCGGUUAUGUAAGACAGGUGUGAAAUCCCAGGGCUUAACCUUGGAACUGCAUUUGUGACUGCAUAGCUAGAGUACGGUAGAGGGGGAUGGAAUUCCGCGUGUAGCAGUGAAAUGCGUAGAUAUGCGGAGGAACACCGGUGGCGAAGGCGGCAUCCUGGACCGGUAUUGACACUGAAAAGCGAAAGCCAGGGGAGCAAACGGG